rnacentral:rRNA from 1 species
UACAGAGGUCUCAAGCGUUGUUCGGAAUCACUGGGCGUAAAGGGUGCGUAGGCCGCGGAGUAAGUCGGGUGUGAAAUUUGAGGGCUCAACCUUCAACUUGCACCUGAUACUGCUUCGCUAGAGACCUGGAGAGGAGCUUGGAAUUCUCGGUGUAGCAGUGAAAUGCGUAGAUUUCGAGAAGAACGCUCGCAGCGAAAGCGAAGCUCUGGACAGGUUCUGACGCUGAGGCACGAAGGCUAGGGGAGCGAACAGG